UGCAGCCCCGCUCUCCUCUCUCUCUCUCUCUCUCUCUCUCUCUGUGUCUCUCUCCGGAACGGCCGCACGACGCCUUUUCUUUCUUCGACGGUGACGCCGUGAUGGACUGACGGUGCGCGUCUUCAAGUCUGGGUUUGUCUCGAACUCUACUAGGUGAAGCAGCUUCGAUUUCAGUUUUCGACUCAAUUUCGGAAACUUCAAGCUUGGUGGUGUGGUUGAAGGUUGAAUUAUGCAAGCUGCUGGUGCAUAAAAGAUCUGCUGAACUUAAGUUAAUAGUUUCUCUCAUGUUAUAGUUUUUUAAUACAUGUUCCUUUUUUGUAGUGGUCCUUAUUGGCUUAUUCUAAAUAGCUUUUCAUUUUUCAGUAUUCUUUUAUUAAAUUAUUUUUGUUGUGGUGAUCUUACUCCAGAAAAUAACAAUUAACAAUUUUGUUUCUUGUUACUGUUGCCAGGCCAAAUGACUUCCAUGAUAUUCCCAAAUACUUUCUU